rnacentral:lncRNA from 1 species
AUAAGUUAAGGAAAUAGUGGACUGACUUCUGAUUAUAGAAACCAUCAGAAAACAUUUCCUAUUUCCAUAUGCCAAAGUCAAUCAACCAAUCUCUAAAAAUCAAAUGAAAGCUCCUUGGAAAGAAUCCAAGGAGAGGUGCAACACACAACGUUUUUAACAUCUGCUUCCUUAAUUCAGACUCAACCAACAUUUCUGAAGGCUUUGAGGCCCUUGCCAUCACAUGCUAAGAGGAGUAAAAUGAAGAAGCUAGCAACUGAAACAUGUACCAAGAAUAUCUGGGUGUCAGCUUGCUCAUCUAUCUCCUGGGACAUUUUUGUCAGAAUACAGUGGCUGAAGCGUUUA